AACGAACGCUGGCGGCAGGCUUAACACAUGCAAGUCGAGCGCCCCGCAAGGGGAGCGGCAGACGGGUGAGUAACGCGUGGGAAUCUACCCAUCUCUACGGAAUAACGCAUGGAAACGUGUGCUAAUACCGUAUACGUCCUUCGGGAGAAAGAUUUAUCGGAGAUGGGUGAGCCCGCGUUGGAUUAGCUAGUGGGUGGGGUAAAGGCCUACCAAGGCGACGAUCCAUAGCUGGUCUGAGAGGAUGAUCAGCCACACUGGGACUGAGACACGGCCCAGACUCCUACGGGAGGCAGCAGUGGGGAAUAUUGGACAAUGGGCGCAAGCCUGAUCCAGCCAUGCCGCGUGAGUGAUGAAGGCCCUAGGGUUGUAAAGCUCUUUCGCCGGUGAAGAUAAUGACGGUAACCGGAGAAGAAGCCCCGGCUAACUUCGUGCCAGCCGCCGCAGUAAAAC
rnacentral:rRNA from 1 species